CAGGAACGUAUCCAACAAAUGUGAACGAUGGACUUGCUAUGCUGAUUCCAGUGUGGUGGUGGUAACGAAGUGCGGAGAUACCCCAGAUGGCUGUUACCAAAGCUCAAAAAUAGGGCAACCUCUGCCAUUAUGCUGUAACAUUACCUGCGACAUGAAAAAAUACAUGUGUCUUACCAACGAUGGCAGGCUGUUGAAGGAUGGAGAGGACGUCAAAUUGACUCACCCAUGCGUGAGGUACAUUUGCCAGAAAGGAAUACUUGUCACGCAGACAUGCCAAACGUACACGGACCCGAAAUGCAGUGCUUCUCAAGUGGACAAAUGCGCGCCAUAUCCGGCAUGCUGCGGCGUUGCGAAAGUUUGUGCAGGUUUAAAAUUUUGAAGCGGAUUCAAUCAUUGCUUCAAAAUUUUCAACCGUCGGCAAAAGCU
rnacentral:lncRNA from 1 species